CCCCAGACCUGCAUCCGAUACGGGCGAGCUAGAGUUUGGUAGGGGAGACUGGAAUUCCUGGUGUAGCGGUGGAAUGCGCAGAUAUCAGGAGGAACACCAAUGGCGAAGGCAGGUCUCUGGGCCAAUACUGACACUGAGGAGCGAAAGCGUGGGGAGCGAACAGGAUUAGAUACCCUGGUAGUCCACGCCGUAAACGGUGGGCGCUAGUUGUGGGAACCUUCCACGGUUUCUGCGACGCAGCUAACGCAUUAAGCGCCCCGCCUGGGGAGUACGAUCGCAAGAUUAAAACUCAAAGGAAUUGACGGGGCCCCGCACAAGCAGCGGAGCAUGCGGCUUAAUUCGACGCAACGCGAAGAACCUUACCAAGGCUUGACAUAUACAGGAAUAUGGCAGAGAUGUCAUAGCGGUAAAACGUCUGUAUACAGGUGGUGCAUGGUUGUCGUCAGCUCGUGUCGUGAGAUGUUGGGUUAAGUCCCGCAACGAGCGCAACCCUCGUUCUGUGUUGCCAGCAUUUAGUUGGGGACUCACAGGAGACUGCCGGGGUUAACUCGGAGGAAGGUGGGGAUGACGUCAAAUCAUCAUGCCCCUUAUGUCUUGGGCUGCACGCAUGCUACAAUGGCUGGUACAAAGGGCUGCAAUACUGCAAAG
rnacentral:rRNA from 1 species